rnacentral:rRNA from 1 species
UACAGAGGGGGCAAGCGUUAUUCGGAAUUAUUGGGCGUAAAGGGCGCGUAGGCGGCUUUGCAAGUGACGGGUGAAAUCCCUCGGCUUAACCGAGGAACUGCCUGUCAAGCUGCAUGGCUUGAGACCGGGAGAGGUGAGUGGAAUUCCCAGUGUAGCGGUGAAAUGCGUAGAUAUUGGGAGGAACACCAGUGGCGAAGGCGGCUCACUGGACCGGUACUGACGCUGAUGCGCGAAAGCGUGGGGAGCAAACAGG